rnacentral:rRNA from 1 species
GCAUAUUCUGUGAGCAGGAAAGCAGGGGAUCGCAAGACCUUGCGCUGAUUGAGCGGCCGAUAUCAGAUUAGCUAGUUGGUGAGGUAAAGGCUCACCAAGGCGACGAUCUGUAGCGGGUCUGAGAGGAUGAUCCGCCACACUGGAACUGAGACACGGUCCAGACUCCUACGGGAGGCAGCAGUGGGGAAUUUUGGACAAUGGGCGCAAGCCUGAUCCAGCCAUGCCGCGUGAGUGAAGAAGGCCUUCGGGUUGUAAAGCUCUUUCGGCCGGGAAGAAAUCGCACAGGUUAAUACCCUGUGUGGAUGACGGUACCGGAAUAAGAAGCACCGGCUAACUACGUG